ACGGGGGGUGCAAGCGUUGUUCGGAAUCAUUGGGCGUAAAGAGCGUGUAGGCGGCUUGAUAAGUCAGAUGUGAAAGCCCCGGGCUUAACCCGGGAAGUGCAUUUGAAACUGUCAGGCUUGAGUAGGGGAGAGGGAAGUGGAAUUCCUGGUGUAGAGGUGAAAUUCGUAGAUAUCAGGAGGAUCACCGGUGGCGAAGUCGACUUCCUGGCCCUAUACUGACGCUGAGACGGGAGGGCGUGGGUAGCAAGCAG
rnacentral:rRNA from 1 species